UCAGAGCAGGGGGUAGCACAGCUGCUCACUAGGGGUUGGCUUGCUGAGAGUUUACCUUGUGACACUCUGGAAGCAGGCUGCUGAGCUGCUUAACAUGAGCCUGAGCAGGGUUGUAAAAGUGCUGAGCCCCUGCUCUGCACGCUGCCCACCCAGCCAGUGCAGCAGCGUGUGUUCUCGCUCAAGCACGUGCUGCUGUGGGGCCGGGGAUACUUGUGCUGCCUGCACUGCAUCUCCCAGGCCAUAGGAAUUCUCCAUCUUUGAAGGUGUUGGGAGUCAGGUUGGAUGGGGCUUUGAGCAACUGGGUCUUGUGCAAGAUGUCUCUACCCACCCCAAACCAUUCUGUGAUUCUCUGAAGGUCAGAGGUGAGGCCAGGGUCUGUGUUGAGUCGGCAACACAGAUGUGGCCUUGACUUUGCUGUAAGGCAAUUUUAAAAAAUACUCUCAUAUAUCUCCCCAGCCAAAUUCACUGCCCUAAAAAAGGGCUUGUGGAAGCAUCAAAAAAGUGGGUCGUGCCCAUGCAGUGCUUUUAUUUAAAUGUACUGAAAAGCAGAUCCCAAGCGGAUACUGCAGAAAUCCACUCUCCUAAGCUGUGUUGCUGCUGCCUCAGGUGUCCUCCACGCUGCUGCCUCCAACACCUGAGGCUGUUGGUCUGUUGGCCAUCACAGCUCCUGCUGCUGAGGGGAAGGGCACCUGUCCCCAUCGUACUGGUGGGGACCGAGGAACAAGCUCCAGCUUAGCCAGUGACUCAGAGGAAACCUGGUGCAGCAGAAAGGGGAACCAGACCAUCUCCCUCGGUCAUACUGUAGUGGGUCAUGUCUUUCAGGUUUCCAGCACAGCUUUUCUGCCUGCUAAGUGUUUCAGUCUUGGCCUUCUGUCAUACUGGGAGGCUUUUCCCAGGGCUGGAGCUGGAUGGAGGGAACAUGCUCCAUAUAUUGGUGUCUGGCUGUAUUUUCAGGGUGCUUUCAUGCUGGCAGGUAGCCUUGACUAUCUGCCAGUCCUUCUCUCCUUGCACACAUAUGAAGUCUUACUCAAGCAGGGAGAGAGGGGGUAUCAGAAUUAAAACCCGAGAGGUUGAGAUCUAUUUUGUUUUAAACACAGGGAAAAAACUCAACGUGUGCCACAACCUCCUGGAAAGCACUGAGGAUGCAGUAGGAGGGGGAAAAGAUGGAAAAUGGAAACUCAGAGGGUGUGGGAGUUUCCCAUUGUACCAAAAAUCUUUUGUGGCGUAUAGUGUCAGCACUUAG
rnacentral:lncRNA from 1 species